UACGUAGGGUGCAAGCGUUGUCCGGAAUUAUUGGGCGUAAAGAGCUCGUAGGCGGUCUGUUGCGUCGGCUGUGAAAACCCGAGGCUCAACCUCGGGCCUGCAGCCGAUACGGGCAGACUAGAGUUCGGCAGGGGAGACUGGAAUUCCUGGUGUAGCGGUGAAAUGCGCAGAUAUCAGGAGGAACACCGGUGGCGAAGGCGGGUCUCUGGGCCGAUAUUGACGCUGAGGAGCGAAAGCGUGGGGAGCGAACAGG
rnacentral:rRNA from 1 species